rnacentral:rRNA from 1 species
UACGUAGGGUGCAAGCGUUAAUCGGAAUUACUGGGCGUAAAGCGUGCGCAGGCGGUUUUGUAAGACAGAGGUGAAAUCCCCGGGCUUAACCUGGGAACUGCCUUUGUGACUGCAAGGCUUGAGUGCGGCAGAGGGGGAUGGAAUUCCGCGUGUAGCAGUGAAAUGCGUAGAUAUGCGGAGGAACACCGAUGGCGAAGGCAAUCCCCUGGGCCUGCACUGACGCUCAUGCACGAAAGCGGGGGGAGCAAACAGG